rnacentral:rRNA from 1 species
UAUCAGAGUGGGACUAAGCCAUGCGAGUCGACGUAGCAAUGCGUGGCGAACGGCUCAGUAACACGUAGUCAACAUGCCCAGGGGACGUGGAUAACCUCGGGAAACUGAGAAUGAACCACGAUAGGUCACGAUUUCUGGAAUGGAUCGUGGCCUAAAUCUACAUGGCCCCUGGAUUGGACUGCGGCCGAUCAGGCUGUUGGUGAGGUAAUGGCCCACCAAACCUAUAACCGGUACGGGCUCUGAGAGGAGAAGCCCGGAGAUGGGCACUGAGACAAGGGCCCAGGCCCUAUGGGGCGCAGCAGGCGCGAAACCUCUGCAAUAGGCGAAAGCCUGACAGGGUUACUCUGAGCGAUUUCCGCUAAGGGGAUCUUUUGGCACCUCUAAAAAUGGUGCAGAAUAAGGGGUGGGCAAGUCUG